AGAGUUUGAUCCUGGCUCAGGACGAACGCUGGCGGCGUGCUUAACACAUGCAAGUCGAACGGUAAGGCCCUUCGGGGUACACGAGUGGCGAACGGGUGAGUAACACGUGGGUGAUCUGCCCUGCACUUUGGGAUAAGCCUGGGAAACUGGGUCUAAUACCGAAUACACCCUGCUGGUCGCAUGGCCUGGUGGGGGAAAGCUUUUGCGGUGUGGGAUGGGCCCGCGGCCUAUCAGCUUGUUGGUGGGGUGAUGGCCUACCAAGGCGACGACGGGUAGCCGGCCUGAGAGGGUGUCCGGCCACACUGGGACUGAGAUACGGCCCAGACUCCUACGGGAGGCAGCAGUGGGGAAUAUUGCACAAUGGGCGCAAGCCUGAUGCAGCGACGCCGCGUGAGGGAUGACGGCCUUCGGGUUGUAAACCUCUUUCAGUAGGGACGAAGCGUGAGUGACGCUACCUAUAGAAGAAGCACCGGCCAACUACGUGCCAGCAGCCGCGGUAAUACGUAGGGUGCGAGCGUUGUCCGGAAUUACUGGGCGUAAAGAGCUCGUAGGUGGUUUGUCGCGUUGUUCGUGAAACCUCACCAGCUUAACUGUGGGCGUGCGGGCGAUACGGGCAGACUGGAGUACUGCAGGGGAGACUGGAAUUCCUGGUGUAGCGGUGGAAUGCGCAGAUAUCAGGAGGAACACCGGUGGCGAAGGCGGGUCUCUGGGCAGUAACUGACGCUGAGGAGCGAAAGCGUGGGGAGCGAACAGGAUUAGAUACCCUGGUAGUCCACGCCGUAAACGGUGGGUACUAGGUGUGGGUUUCCUUCCUUGGGAUCCGUGCCGUAGCUAACGCAUUAAGUACCCCGCCUGGGGAGUACGGCCGCAAGGCUAAAACUCAAAGGAAUUGACGGGGGCCCGCACAAGCGGCGGAGCAUGUGGAUUAAUUCGAUGCAACGCGAAGAACCUUACCUGGGUUUGACAUGCACAGGACGCCGGCAGAGAUGUCGGUUCCCUUGUGGCCUGUGUGCAGGUGGUGCAUGGCUGUCGUCAGCUCGUGUCGUGAGAUGUUGGGUUAAGUCCCGCAACGAGCGCAACCCUUGUCUCAUGUUGCCAGCACGUUAUGGUGGGGACUCGUGAGAGACUGCCGGGGUCAACUCGGAGGAAGGUGGGGAUGACGUCAAGUCAUCAUGCCCCUUAUGUCCAGGGCUUCACACAUGCUACAAUGGCCGGUACAAAGGGCUGCGAUGCCGUGAGGUGGAGCGAAUCCUUUCAAAGCCGGUCUCAGUUCGGAUCGGGGUCUGCAACUCGACCCCGUGAAGUCGGAGUCGCUAGUAAUCGCAGAUCAGCAACGCUGCGGUGAAUACGUUCCCGGGCCUUGUACACACCGCCCGU
rnacentral:rRNA from 1 species